UGAAGGCCAGGCUGAAGACUUUGCCGGAUUAGCUGAGAGGUGGUGCAUGGCCGUCGUCAGUUCGUACUGUGAAGCAUCCUGUUAAGUCAGGCAACGAGCGAGACCCACGCCCACAGUUGCCAGCGUACUCUCUGGAGUGACGGGUACACUGUGGGACCGCCGCUGCUAAAGCGGAGGAAGGAAUGGGCAACGGUAGGUCAGUAUGCCCCGAAUAUCCCGGGCUACACGCGAGCUACAAUGGUUGGUACAAUGGGUAUCUACCCCGAAAGGGGACGGGAAUCUCCUAAAACCAAUCUUAGUUCGGAUUGAGGGCUGCAACUCGCCCUCAUGAAGCUGGAAUCCGUAGUAAUCGCGUUUCAACAGAACGCGGUGAAUACGUCCCUGCUCCUU
rnacentral:rRNA from 1 species